UAGCCUUUUGGGAAAUAGAGAUUGGGUAGGCGGGGUAGUCUGCCUGGCCAAUGGGAAGUUUGAUUCCCAUGAAUGUUUAGACCAAUCAGAGAGCGGAAUGCCACAGAGGCUCCACCUUCUUUCCCGUGUUGGCAGCGUUGAUUGUGAGCUGGAGAUCUGACCCUGAUCAGACAGCUGAGCCAGAAACCACUAAGAUCAGUUGGAACUGUUGCACUUUCUGGCAGUUGAUUGGCAGUUGUUUUCAGUUCAACUGAAGUGCCCUCCGUGUCUGGAAUGAGAGUCCCUGUCUAGUUGUUUUGAACGUGCCGCACUGAGAUCGGUGAGCAUAUUUUGUAC